rnacentral:rRNA from 1 species
UACAGAGGUCUCGAGCGUUGUUCGGAUUCAUUGGGCGUAAAGGGUGCGUAGGGGGCGCUGUAAGUCGGGUGUGAAAUCCUGAGGCUUAACCUCGGAACUGCAUUCGAUACUGCGGCGCUUGAGGACUGGAGAGGAGACUGGAAUUCAUGGUGUAGCAGUGAAAUGCGUAGAGAUCAUGAGGAAGACCAGUGGCGAAGGCGGGUCUCUGGACAGUUCCUGACACUGAGGCACGAAGGCCAGGGGAGCAAACGGG